AUUGAACGCUGGCGGCAGGCUUAACACAUGCAAGUCGAGCGGGGGAAGGUAGCUUGCUACUGGACCUAGCGGCGGACGGGUGAGUAAUGCUUAGGAAUCUGCCUAUUAGUGGGGGACAACAUCUCGAAAGGGAUGCUAAUACCGCAUACGUCCUACGGGAGAAAGCAGGGGAUCUUCGGACCUUGCGCUAAUAGAUGAGCCUAAGUCGGAUUAGCUAGUUGGUGGGGUAAAGGCCUACCAAGGCGACGAUCUGUAGCGGGUCUGAGAGGAUGAUCCGGCACACUGGGACUGAGAAACGGCCCAGACUCCUACGGGAGGCAGCAGUGGGGAAUAUUGGACAAUGGGGGGAACCCUGAUCCAGCCAUGCCGCGUGUGUGAAGAAGGCCUUAUGGUUGUAAAGCACUUUAAGCGAGGAGGAGGCUACUCUAGUUAAUACCUAGGGAUAGUGGACGUUACUCGCAGAAUAAGCACCGGCUAACUCUGUGCCAGCCGCCGCGGUAA
rnacentral:rRNA from 1 species